CACGUAGGAUCCGAGCGUUAUCCGAAUUUACUGGGCGUAAAGCGCGUGUAGGCGGUUCGGCAAGUUGGACGUGAAAGCUCCUGGCUCAACUGGGAGAGGUCGUUCAAAACUGCCGGGCUAGAGAGCGACAGAGGGAGGUGGAAUUCCCGGUGUAGUGGUGAGAUGCGUAGAUAUCGGGAGGAACACCAGUGGCGAAGGCGGCCUCCUGGGUCGUCUCUGACGAUCAGACGCGAAAGCUAGGGGAGCGAACGGG
rnacentral:rRNA from 1 species